GCAUUGAUGGUGUAGCGGUAACAUUGGGUCUUCCCACUUGAGAGUGUGCAAAUGUCAUGGCCUAGCUCCGGGUUCGACUCCCGGUCAAUGCA